AGGAUUAACGCUGGCGGCGUGCCUAACACAUGCAAGUCGAACGAGGUAGCAAUACCUAGUGGCAGACGGGUGAGUAGCGCGUGGUCAACCUACCGUUGAGUGGGGGAUAACUAGCCGAAAGGUUAGCUAAUACCGCAUACGUCUCCGAGGGGCAUCCCUUGGUGAUAAAAGGAGCAAUCCGCUCGAUGACGGGACCGCGUCCCAUUAGCUAGUUGGUGGGGUAACGGCCUACCAAGGCAUCGAUGGGUAGCUGGUUUGAGAGAGCGACCAGCCACACUGGGACUGAGAUACGGCCCAGACUCCUACGGGAGGCAGCAGUGAGGAAUUUUCCGCAAUGGGCGAAAGCCUGACGGAGCGACGCCGCGUGUGGGAAGAAGGCCUUCGGGUCGUAAACCACUGUCGAAGGGGAAGAUAAUGACGGUACCCUUGGAGGAAGCCCCGGCUAACUACGUGUCAGCAGCCGC
rnacentral:rRNA from 1 species